rnacentral:rRNA from 1 species
UAAUACGUAGGUGGCAAGCGUUAUCCGGAAUUACUGGGCGUAAAGCGCACGCAGGCGGCCUUUUAAGUUUGACGUGAAAGCUCCUGGCUUAACCGGGAGAGGUCGUUGAAGACUGGAAGGCUUGAGACGAUGAGAGGGGUGCAGAAUUCCCGGUGUAGUGGUGGAAUGCGUAGAUAUCGGGAGGAAUACCAGUGGCGAAGGCGGCACCCUGGCAUCGGUCUGACGCUCAUGUGCGAAGGCGUGGGGAGCGAACGGGAUUAGAUACCCCGGUAGUCCACGCGGUAAACGAUGAACACUGGGUGUGGGGAGCGUAAAGCUGUCCGUGCCGAAGCCAACGCGUUAAGUGUUCCGCCUGGGGAGUACGGCCGCAAGGCUA